UGUAUACUAAUACGAGAAGCUUAUAUAUGGUCAUAAUAAGGAUGACCGUCUCUACCCAACACCGUAAAUGUUGGUCUAUAAGUGAAGAAGUGUCUUAG
rnacentral:ncRNA from 2 species